ensembl:lncRNA
CGUGUAGACGGAACCCAAACCCCUAGGGAAUAAAUACGAGAUGGGAGGAAAAUAUAUAUUUCAUCUUUCUCUCGCAGUUAUAUCACUGGGUAAUUAUAUAAAUUGCGCCCAUGGGGGAGCCUUAUAUGCAUGGCACUGAAACUGCUUUUGAGUUCACGAUUGCUUUUUAGUUUCACUUUCACUUUAGAGAUUCACGAUCGCACCUAACGUUACUCUGUUUAUACUGUGGAGCGGCAGUACUUACCACACAUUUGACAAGAUUAAAUGUUUUGUCAGUGGUGUUCAGAAUCUACAAAUCAUUUGCCAUCAUCCUCAGUCAUCUCUCCUAUUUUGUUUAUUUUUGUUUUUCAGGCACUUAGAGGACAUUCCUUCACGGACAAAAAAUGUCACAAAGCAAAGGUGGGUAAUCAUUUCUUAAGUUUUUUUACUGAUAAAAUCUAACCCCCUUACAUUUUAAUAUUGAUAAUAACUGACACAAGACUGCACAAAUCCAUCUUGUAGUAACUGUCACAUUUGUAUUUUUACAGAGCUUGUGAUCGCAAGUAGCCCUGACUUUGUUACGGAGCUUCUUCCAUCUGCUCAGCGUACGGCUUUGCUCUACCAUCUCUCUUACCUGGGUUUGGCUAAGUUCCCCAAGUUGGAGAGGAUUCUUAGAGAAUGUGCUGUUAAAUCCCAGCUUCUCUUUGGGUCCUCUGAAGCUCUUCUGCUGAAGUGUGCUGCCACAAGUAAAAACCUGGUUACCACGCUGUUGCCUGCACUGAAGGUUGCUGUUGAAAAGGAUAAAAGCAUUUUGGCCAUUAGGUCCGUGGAAAAAGCAAGAGCAUGGAUCACUGAAAUUGUUGACAAAGUGGAACAGAUGGCGAAUAGGUAAAAUGUUGGAAAAUGUUUUGAAAUGUUGCUAAGAAUGGUAAUUUUUGUGAGAUUUAUUGAGUAUAUUCUGGAUUAAUUUUGAUAUGGCUACUGCCAAAAAUCAUCUGGAUGUAUAUCAACAUAUAAUUAAACAGAAACAAAACACCAUGUCUCAGUCUAUUAUCAAUAACAUUAACUGUGUUUAAGCUGAUAAUUCAUUUGAAAUCUGUCAUCAUCAGAUAUGAAGAACACAUCUUGAAUGUGAGUACAUGCACCAGUGAUGUGAAUGAUGUAAAGGCUGAGACAGAGGAAACAGACAAGAAAAUAUUUCAAGAAAUAGAGGCACUGAAGAAAGAGGUGCUCAAAGAAGAAGAGAAACUAAAGGAAACUAGUGAAC